rnacentral:tRNA from 2 species
GCCCAGAUAGCUCAGUUGGCAGAGCACGUCCUUGGUAAGGACGAGGUCGCCGGUUCGAAUCCGGUUCUGGGCUCCA